rnacentral:rRNA from 1 species
CGGAGAUACACGAGUGGCGAACGGGUGCGUAACGCGUAUGCAACCUACCUUUAACAGAGAGAUAGCCCUGAGAAAUUGGGAUUAAUAUCACAUAAUAUCAUAAUGCAGCAUUGUAUAAUGAUUAAAGCUCCGGCGGUUAAAGAUGGGCAUGCGUGACAUUAGUUAGUUGGUGAGGUAACGGCUCACCAAGACUACGAUGUCUAGGGGUUCUGAGAGGAUUAUCCCCCACACUGGUACUGAGACACGGCCCAGACUCC